rnacentral:misc_RNA from 1 species
AGUAACUACAUAGAUGUUAAAAUAUGAUCCUAAACUAUCCUUGGUUACUUUACCAAUAAACAGAUUGAUAUUGAAGAGAAUUUGAAUAGCAUAAUAACUAGAAAGGCAGAAAGCUCAGAGCUUUGAGAAUUAAUUGCACCGGUUUAACAAAAAUCAAAUAAGACUAGUCUUCUCAUGUAAACUUUAAGAAGAAAAAUAUAACACCAGAAAUGUCAGUAAACUUUGGGCACUGA